ACAGUAACUAGCUAACUUCCUGUCACCUGAUUAUUAGCAAAGAUGGCCAGCGCCUGUUACAUACGGUAGUGGACUGUUGUGGUUUUGUUUACGUUUAAAUGCUGUUUAUGGUAACACACCAAUGGUGACCUCCCUAUGUAGGGAUAUGCUUAUUAGCAAUGUGGUACUGCCUGUUACGUGUAUAGCCUAGCAUACAGACUACAACUGUGGACUUGUUAUAAAUGUGAAACACGCCCUGCAGGAAGACAACACAACAAAGAAUAAAUACAACGCUCUUCAGAUGGCUUUGAGAGACGUGAAGAUUUGUUUGCUCGGUGACAGUGGUGUCGGAAAGACAAGCAUUGUCUGGCGUUUUGUGACAAAUACUUUCCGCGAGAAUCCAGGCAGCACAAUUGGCGCUUCUUUCAUGGUAAAAAAUUUAGUGUUGGACAGCAAAACAUUCCGAUUCCAAAUCUGGGAUACAGCAGGACAAGAGAAAUACCAUGCUUUAGCACCCAUGUACUUUCGCGGUGCAGCUGCUGCUAUUGUGGUGUAUGAUAUUACGAAGGAAUCAUCAUACAGAUCUGCUAAGGAGUGGGUGAAAAGAUUACGGAAACAUGGUGUCACUGACGCAGUUAUUGCUCUUGCAGGAAAUAAAUGUGAUGCCGAGGAUCUUCGAGAGGUGUCUGCUAAAGAUGCCCAAGCUUACGCUGACUCUAUACAGGCUAUUUUCGUGGAAACUAGUGCCUUGGUUGCUGUAAAUAUUCCCGAAUUGUUCACAUCCAUUGCUCAAAGACUGCCACCAAUCAACGACAACACUGUAGAUAAUGACAACACAGUGAAUAUGACCAGUCGAACAUCGACUAAAUCUUGUUGUUUCUCUUCCUCCGGCUCGUCGACAGCCAAAAACUGCCUUGAUGAUAGAAAUCACCAGGUUUUGAUUUGAAGAAUUCAUCAAGCCACAUAUUCAGCUCCACAUCAUUGUUGAACAAAAUGCCAUGCAGACUGUUGGAGAGCUAUCAGAAAAGGUGAUAAUCUUAAGGUGCUGUACUAAAAGAAUAUGAAAAGUACAAUAGAAGCCAUUCUAAAAGAUGUAUAUUAAAAAGACAAAGUGAACAAUAGAUCAACAUUUUGCUGUAUUGGAAAUCUCUCUGCCUUGAGAGAAAAUCCUUGAAAUAAUCAAGAAGCUAUUACAUAGAUUAUUAUUAUUUGACUGUUAAAAUAAAAAUAUGUGAACUAUUA